rnacentral:rRNA from 1 species
UACGGGGGGGGUAAGCGUUGUUCGGAAUUACUGGGCGUAAAGGGCUCGUAGGCGGCCAACUAAGUCGGACGUGAAAUCCCUCAGCUUAACUGGGGAACUGCGUCCGAUACUGGAUGGCUUGGAUUUGGGAGAGGGAUGCGGAAUUCCAGGUGUAGCGGUGAAAUGCGUAGAUAUCAAGCGGAACACCGGUGGCGAAGGCGGCCUUCUGGACAGUGACUGACGCUGAGACGCGAAAGCGUGGGGAGCAAACAGG